rnacentral:RNase_P_RNA from 1 species
GCGGGGGCAUUUAUGCCCGUGAGGAAAGUCCGUGCUGCUCAGGACAGGAUAGCUGAUAACGUCAGCCGAGGGCGACCUUAGAGAUAGUGCAACAGAGAUAUACCGCCGUUUUACAACGGCAAGGGUGGAAAGGCGAGGCAAGAGCUCACCGGAGGUGCGGAGACGCAUCUGCCAUGUAAACCUUAUCCGCAGCAACUCCCGACAGCAGAGCAUUAACGUAGUCCUGCGGCUCUCAGGAGGAGGCUUGAGGCGCAGAGCAAUCUGCGCAGUAGAUAGAUCAUCGUUUAAUACAGAACACGGCUUACGGUUU